rnacentral:tRNA from 1 species
GACAGAAUGCCUGAUUAAAGGGUCAUCUUGAUAGGGUGAAUCAAGUAUACUAUACUUUUGUUA